rnacentral:rRNA from 1 species
GUACGGGGGGGGCAAGCGUUGUUCGGAAUUACUGGGCGUAAAGGCUCGUAGGCGGCCAACUAAGUCAGACGUGAAAUCCCUCGGCUUAACCGGGGAACUGCGUCUGAUACUGAAUGGCUUGAGUUCGGGAGAGGGAUGCGGAAUUCCAGGUGUAGCGGUGAAAUGCGUAGAUAUCUGGAGGAACACCGGUGGCGAAGGCGGCAUCCUGGACCGACACUGACGCUGAGGAGCGAAAGCCAGGGGAGCAAACAGGGAU